rnacentral:lncRNA from 1 species
AUGAUUUUGAUUUUGAACCCGAAGAUAUUGAUUGUGAUUGGAAAAUCUUUUGAGGUCGAUGUAAUUGUUUGAAUCGGUCAAACAAUCAAAUGAAUGUGAUGAAACGUGUUUUAAAAGAAAAGGAGAGGAGAGAAUUUUGUAUUGAGAUAAGAUAACACGAAAUUUGGUGUUGAGGGUGAAGUUUCGGGAAGAAUUUAGCAGUAAGAGGUGGCGCUGUCAGUGCCAUUGGUCAUAGCUUGCUCUUAUGUACAGAAUUUCUUUUAAUCCCGCUUUUGUGACAAGGAUGAAGAGGAAAUCCUGCAAACGAUAAAGACGGUAUUUCAUCCACAUAGUAUUCAGAAAAUUCCUAGCAGUUUAUGUGCUAAAGGUACAUCUUUUAGAAUUUCAUACAUGUGGAUGGUAUUCUCUUAUAAGGUGUUGAUACACACCACAUGUUUUAGAAAAUGUUAACAACAAAUGCUUUACCAGUCCUUCCUUGGCAAAUGCUCAUGAUAAGCAGGUUUGAUCUUUGAGAUCACAAAUGGAGCUAAAGGUAACAGGGUACCAACAAAAAUAAAAUAUGCAUACUUGACAUAAUCAUUUUCUAAAGAAAAUGACUAUUUUAAAUUAACUAAUAAUACUCUAAUUAGAACACAGUAUGUACCUAUUCAACAGCAAACUAUACUCUAUGGAAUAUGGUUAUUUUAUCAUUUAGUACAUUAUUCACAUUUUGAUAAAAAUCACCAUGUUGAUCUAAGUCAAAUAUACACUAGUUUCUCUUAGAUUAUGUGUCAUGGUUUUAUUAGUUUUCAUUGUCACGUUAAAAAAAAGUGACUGUCAUCUCACUAUCACAUAAGCAUGAGCUCCGAUUCAUUUAUUUUCACUUUUGUGUGUACUAUUUCACUACUAAUUAAAAUAAUAUUAAAUUAAAUGAAUUUAUAAAAAAUAAAUAAAUAAACACAACGAGAAGAUGCGUUCACAUGUCAUUGGCUGAAAAAAUUAAAAUCACCCCCCCCCCCCGCGCCUUAUGUUUGUAGCUUUAAGGCGUGAGCAAAGUCACACUCAAAAUCUUUCACGCUGGUCAUGCCCAAGCGGAGCCGUGUUUCACAUCUAGAAAUCUUCCAUGUUGGCGAGGGUGUGAAUGCGUAACGGAUGGUCUAACCGGAAAAUCAUCAAAAAGACCAUUUUGAUCAAGAAAAUUGACAAAUUAGACAUUGAAGUUUUGUUUUAACAAAAGAAUAACUAAUAAAACGUAGACGUGUGUCCAUUUUGUCAUACUAUGUCUCAUGUCAGCAGAGUAAUAUAGAAAUCAUUCGCUCUUUUUGCCACGCCUGUGGCAAGGGGAAGAUUCCAAUAAUCUUGUUGUACCAUAAUUAAAAAAUUUAAGAACCUGACUAUCUUCGUCAGUUGGC